GGGCCCGCACAAGCAGCGGAGCAUGUGGUUUAAUUCGAAGCAACGCGAAGAACCUUACCUAGACUUGACAUCUCCUGAAUAGCGUAGAGAUACGUGAAGCCCUUCGGGGCAGGAAGACAGGUGGUGCAUGGUUGUCGUCAGCUCGUGUCGUGAGAUGUUGGGUUAAGUCCCGCAACGAGCGCAACCCUUAUCAUUAGUUGCUACCAUUAAGUUGAGCACUCUAGUGAGACUGCCCGGGUUAACCGGGAGGAAGGCGGGGAUGACGUCAAAUCAUCAUGCCCCUUAUGUCUAGGGCUACACACGUGCUACAAUGGUGAGAACAACGAGAUGCAAUACCGCGAGGUGGAGCCAAACUUGAAAACUCAUCCCAGUUCGGAUUGUAGGCUGAAAUUCGCCUACAUGAAGUUGGAGUUGCUAGUAAUCGCGAAUCAGAAUGUCGCGGUGAAUACGUUCCCGGGCCUUGUACACACCGCCCGUCACACCAUGAGAGCUGGUAACACCCGAAGUCCGUGAGGUAACCUUUAUGGAGCCAGCGGCCGAAGGUGGGAUUAGUGAUUGGGGUGAAGUCGUAACAAGGUAGCCGUAGGAGAACCUGCGGCUGGAUCAC
rnacentral:rRNA from 1 species